rnacentral:rRNA from 1 species
GACGAACGCUGGCGGCGUGCUUAACACAUGCAAGUCGAGCGGUAAGGCCCUUUCGGGGGUACACGAGCGGCGAACGGGUGAGUAACACGUGGGUGACCUGCCCUCAGCUCUGGGAUAAGCCUGGGAAACCGGGUCUAAUACUGGAUAUGACUCCAUGACGCAUGUUGUGGGGUGGAAAGCCUUGUGCGGCUGAGGAUGGGCCCGCGGCCUAUCAGCUUGUUGGUGGGGUGANGGCCUACCAAGGCGACGACGGGUAGCCGACCUGAGAGGGCGACCGGCCACACUGGGACUGAGACACGGCCCAGACUCCUACGGGAGGCAGCAGUGGGGAAUCUUGCGCAAUGGGCGAAAGCCUGACGCAGCGACGCCGCGUGA